rnacentral:rRNA from 1 species
AGAAUCAACGCUGGCGGCGUGCCUAACACAUGCAAGUCGAACGAGAAAGGGGAGCAAUCCCUGAGUACAGUGGCGACCGGGUGAGUAACACGUGACUAACCUACCCUCGAGUGUGGAAUAACAUCGGGAAACCGAUGCUAAUACCGCAUAACAUCGCAAGAUCAAAGGAGUAAUCCGCUUGAGGAGGGGGUCGCGGCUGAUUAGCUAGUUGGCGGGGUAAUGGCCCACCAAGGCGAAGAUCGGUAUCCGGCCUGAGAGGGCGCACGGACACACUGGAACUGAAACACGGUCCAGACUCCUACGGGAGGCAGCAGUGGGAAUUUUGCGCAAUGGGGGAAACCCUGACGCAGCAACGCCGCGUGGAGGAGUGAAGCCCCUUGGGGCGUAAAACUCCUUUCGACCAAGACGAUAAUGACGGUACUGGUGGAAGAAGCACCGGCUAACUCUGCGCCAGCAGCCGC